AUUGAACGCUGGCGGCAGGCCUAACACAUGCAAGUCGAGCGGAUGAAGGGAGCUUGCUCCUGGAUUCAGCGGCGGACGGGUGAGUAAUGCCUAGGAAUCUGCCUGGUAGUGGGGGAUAACGUCCGGAAACGGGCGCUAAUACCGCAUACGUUCUGAGGGAGAAAGUGGGGGAUCUUCGGACCUCACGCUAUCAGCUGAGCCUAGGUCGGAUUAGCUAGUUGGUGGGGUAAAGGCCUACCAAGGCGACGAUCCGUAACUUGACUGAGAGGAUGAUCAGUCAAACUGGAACUGGGACAGGGUCCAGACUCCUCCGGGAGGCGGCAGAGGGGAAUAUUGGACAAUGGGCGAAAGCCUGAUCCAGCACUGCCGGGUGUGGGAGGAAGGUCUCCGGAUUUUAAAGCACGUUAAGUGGGGAGAAAGGGCAGUAGGGUAAAACCUUGAUGUUGUGACGUUACCAACAGAGUAAGCACCGGCUAACUACGUG
rnacentral:rRNA from 1 species